UCGAUUAGUUUGAUCAUGGCUCAGGACGAACGCUGGCGGCGUGCGUAAUACAUGCAAGUCGAGCGGGCGGGUGCUUUCGGGUGCUCGUUAGCGGCGGACGGGUGAGUAACGCGUGGGUGAUCUAGCCUGGUGGUGGGGGAUAACUGUCCGAAAGGGUGGCUAAUCCCGCAUGAGUUCUUUGGGGGGACCUGGAGAGGAAAGCUUCUUUUGGGGAGCGCCAUAGGGGGGGCCCGCGUCCCAUUAGGUGGUUGGUGGGGUAACGGCCUACCAAGCCUGGGAUGGGUAGCUGGUCUGAGAGGAUGGCCGGCCACACUGGGACUGAGAGACGGCCCAGACUCCUACGGGGGGCAGCAGUAAGGGAUCUUCCGCAAUGGCCGCAAGGCUGACGGAGCGACGCCGCGUGGGUGAUGACGCGCUUCUGGCGUGUAAAGCCCUGUUGACCGGGGAGAGGCAGGACGGUACCGGUCGAGGAAGCCCCGGCUAACCACGUGCCAGCAGCCGCGGUAAGACGUGGGGGGCGAGCGUUGUCCGGAAUUACUGGGCGUCAAGCGCGCGUAGGCGGGUUGUCAGGCGGCGUGUGGAAGGUGGGGGCUCAACCUCCAGAGGCCACGCCGAACCGGCGAUCUUGGGACGGCGAGGGGCAGGUG
rnacentral:rRNA from 1 species